AGCGAACGCUGGCGGCAGGCCUAACACCUGCAAGUCGAACGAACUCUUCGGAGUUAGUGGCGGACGGGUGAGUAACACGUGGGAACGUGCCUUUAGGUUCGGAAUAACUCAGGGAAACUUGUGCUAAUACCGAAUGUGCCCUUCGGGGGAAAGAUUUAUCGCCUUUAGAGCGGCCCGCGUCUGAUUAGCUAGUGGGUGAGGUAAAGGCUCACCAAGGCGACGAUCAGUAGCUGGUCGGAGAGGAUGAUCAGCCACAUUGGGACUGAGACACGGCCCAAACUCCUACGGGAGGCAGCAGUGGGUAAUCUUGCGCAAUGGGCGAAAGCCUUACGCAGCCAUGCCGCGUGAAUGAUGAAGGUCUUAGGAUUGUAAAAUUCUCUCACCGGGGACGAUAAUGACGGUACCCGUAGAAGAAGCCCCGGCUAACUUCGUGCCAGCAGCCGCAGUAA
rnacentral:rRNA from 1 species